UGCAAGGUUGGACAAAAAGUUUGAAAUGGUAGGGUGGAUCUGCAAAAGAGAGUAGGACGGGCACCAAAGGUUGUCGGACUUUGUCCAGUGGAAGGUUUGACCAAGUCAAACCAAAUCUUGGAGAACGGUGGAAACUUGAGUUAUGAAAACAAGAGUAGCGCAGUGCCGGUAUACUUGGAGGUCCGUAUAGCUUAUAUAGAAUGAGGGU
rnacentral:lncRNA from 1 species